rnacentral:rRNA from 1 species
ACGGUAACAUGACUAGCUUGCUAGUUGAUGACGAGUGGCGGACGGGUGAGUAACGCGUAGGAAUCUACCCAGUAGCGGGGGAUGCCAGAGAAAUUUGGUCUAAUACCGCAUACGCCCUUCGGGGGAAAGCAGGGGAUCUUCGGACCUUGCACUAUUGGAUGAGCCUGCGUGAGAUUAGCUAGUUGGUGAGGUAAUGGCUCACCAAGGCGACGAUCUCUAGCUGGUCUGAGAGGAUGAUCAGCCACACUGGAACUGAGACACGGUCCAGACUCCUACGGGAGGCAGCAGUGGGGAAUAUUGCACAAUGGGCGCAAGCCUGAUGCAGCCAUGCCGCGUGUGUGAAGAAGGCCCUAGGGUUGUAAAGCACUUUCAGCAGUGAGGAAAGGUUAGUAGUUAAUACCUGCUAGCUGUGACGUUAACUGCAGAAGAAGCACCGGCUAACUCCGUGCCAGCAGCCGCGGUAAUACGGAGGGUGCGAGCGUUAAUCGGAAUUACUGGGCGUAAAGCGCGCGUAGGUGGAUUGGUCAGUCAGAUGUGAAAGCCCAGGGCUCAACCUUGGAACUGCAUCUGAUACUGCUAAUCUAGAGUACGGUAGAGGGUAGUGGAAUUUCCUGUGUAGCGGUGAAAUGCGUAGAUAUAGGAAGGAACACCAGUGGCGA